GUGGGGAAUAUUGCACAAUGGGGGAAACCCUGAUGCAGCGACGCCGCGUGAAGGAAGAAGUAUUUCGGUAUGUAAACUUCUAUCAGCAGGGAAGAAAAUGACGGUACCUGACUAAGAAGCUCCGGCUAAAUACGUGCCAGCAGCCGCGGUAAUACGUAUGGAGCAAGCGUUAUCCGGAUUUACUGGGUGUAAAGGGAGCGUAGGCGGCAGGGCAAGUCUGAUGUGAAACUCCGGGGCUCAACCCCGGACUUGCAUUGGAAACUGUCAGGCUGGAGUGCGGGAGAGGCAGGCGGAAUUCCUAGUGUAGCGGUGAAAUGCGUAGAUAUUAGGAGGAACACCAGUGGCGAAGGCGGCCUGCUGGACCGUAACUGACGCUGAGGCUCGAAAGCGUGGGGAGCGAACAGGA
rnacentral:rRNA from 1 species